CCUUGAUGUGCUCAGGACUGGGGAUAACCAACAGUGUUUUAUUCUUGGUAGGACUUUGUCAUCCAGAUGCCCCCUCCAGCCCUGCUUGGCUUCUCUGCAUGCCUGUAGGAGAGUGCAAGUCUGGUCUAGACUCAGGUAAUAUAAGGACAUACAUACACUGCACAUAAGGACAGCAGACCCAGAAGGACGAAAGGAUGUGAAACAGCACUACUGACUGAAGUCUUGGUGCGUUCUGUCAUUGAACACCCUACAGACAAGGCUGAAUGUUUCAACUCAAAAGCAUUAACACAAGGAGACUUCAAAGUUUCCAAACUCUGAAAUAGAAACUUGAAGAAAAUGCCUUGCUCACGGAACAACCCAAUGCUCAGGUGACUUGACAGCCAUUCUGCCAUAGGUUAACCUAAUUUUCCCUCUGCUGACUGAACUUAUAUGGACAAAAUACAUCACCAAAACGUUUCAUGAAGACACUCUGUGUUCCUGCAACAUCCUGCAACAUCUUCAGCCCAUCUGACAAACUGAGUCUGUGGUGACAGUUGAAAUAACUCUUCCUGGAGAAAGCUGCAACAUUUAUUAAUCUGACGGAGAAAAUCCACAGGUGAGAAGUCCUUGUUUUCCAAAUACUCACAUACUGGAUGAUGGUACUUCCCAACACAAUGCAGUUGUAUUUUAUGCUUUAAUUUCUCACAUUUUUCUCCCUUCAAACUUUUAAAGAGGUAUAUAUGCACAACUUUAUCUUUUAAGGAAGUGUGCUUGUGUUUUUCUACUUGUAUUCCUUGAUUUUAACACUAACACCAUUUCAAUCUCUAUUGAGAUCUCUUAAAAUCUCUGCCUGAUCUGGUGGUUUUUUCCCACUUUUUGCUACAAAUUAUACCUUGUUUGCAGAAAAACCAACAUGUUCCUUCUGUGGUUGUAAUCUCAAUAGAUCACAGAUGCACUGAGUAGGUCUGAUGGCUUUGCCAUGUAUGGCAUCACUGUAGUGGCAGAAGCUACUUUCUGCCCUUCUGGCCCUUCUCUGGGCAUAUUCUGUCUUCCCCUUCUGCCUAUACAUCAUUCAUUUUGCAACUAAAAUUGAUGGAUGGAAAAUUAAAGUCCACUAUGUACAUUAUUUGCUAUAGUAGUCACAUGAUUUACCACAUUAUUAAAAAUUAGAUAAUUUCAUACUGAUUUCAAGGCAUUUCCUCUGCAGGUUCAGCUAUUAGCUAUUAUGCAUUUUAUUUCACUUUGCAGAGAAUUUUGUUUGGUCUACUACAGAAAUAUUAUCAUCAAAUAUUAAUAGUUUUUUCCUAUUUGCAGUCCAAAUAUGCUAAGUGUUUGACUGUUUUCCAACAUCCUAAUAAACUAUACUGAAAGGAAAGAAUUAUGAUUGCCUUAUAUGAUGAAAUAAGAUUACACUCAGAAAUGAAGUUCCAUUUCUGAAAAGCACAAUGUAGUCUACGUGAUUAAUAAAGAAAUGCUAGGGCUUUCAAUGUACAAAUGCAAUUUGUCAAUCACUUUUUUUUUUAAUACCAGAACACUUCAGAUAUUCUUGUACCUUCCCCAAUUCAAAAUCCACUUGAACUUCUGUGGGAGGCAGUUAACAAUAAUGAAAGCUAACUUCAGUUUGGAGUACAUUGUUUUUAAAUGCCACCCACAGAAUUUCACGUCGAUCUUGAAUACUUUGAGUUAAGAAAGACUCCUCUUUGAAAAAGAAGAUGGACAGUACAUCCAGUACCAAGAAUUUUAAUUUGCAUUCACUGUAAAUUCCUAAGCUUGUUCUUAAAACAGAAACCAGGAUUGGCUUUCAGAAAGUGCAGGCAUGGAAUACACAGUCAUUUUAUUUACUAAGACUACAGCAUAGAUGAGAAGGAACGCAACCUCCAGAUUCACCUCAAAUUCUGCAGCUCUAAAUUCCACCUCAAUUUCAUGGCCUCUUUUUUAUUUAAUUGGAUGCUUCUAAAGACAACAAACAUAAGACACCUUUAAUUUGCAGGGUAGCCAAAGUUUAAACAGACCCAAUUCCUCAUAAAUGUGCAAGCAUCAUGUUUUCUGAAAUGCUUCUACUCAAAAGUUGACUUCAGGAAAAAGGCAAAGAUUGUGUUAAAAUGAAGACAAUCUUUGUAAAAUAUUUUAGUUUAAAUUCCAAGAUCUUUAGGAAUUGUGAUCACUGGUGUUAGUACUUUACCAUUUUGUAAGAAGUAGAUGGCUACAUAAUAUAAAGAAUUGCCACUAACGAAGGAUGUGGUACAGCCCAUUUAAAGCUCUUGCCAACUACAAAAGUAAUAAUUAAAGUUUGAAAAAGAGCAUACAGUGAAUACAGUGGUUCAGUUUGAGUCUUAAAUAGAUAAUGAACUACUAAAUCUAGUAUUUAAAGCACUCUGUGCUACAUGAAACACAAAUUUAGUAUGCUAGUAGAACUAACAGAUGACCAAAUCGAGUCUCUUUUACUCCCAACUUUGGUUUCAGUGGGUGACAUUCCACAUGUGGUUAGUGGCACUACUGCUGUUAAUUAAAAGCAAAUUUGGGGCCCUGAGAGCCAAAUACAAGCCAGAACAGUAUUGUUCUUCAUGCAGGGUACAUGGUUGAAGGGGCAGGGCAGUCAGGCCCUCAUGAGCAGCCCUCCCAUGGACCACGCAGGCCCAGACUGAUGCUCAGCACCUGCACAGGGACAGGAAGGUGUUCCCAAAAUACUCCCAGAGGCACAGUGAGGGUGAAUGCUCAUCUGAGCUGGUAGCCAAGGCAGAAACAUAACAACCUCAUACCUGACUGCUGUGCUUCUAGCCACAGAUUGAAAAUCCUCUUGACAUAACUUAAUUACACCCAAGAGGACAUUAUGCCAUAGCAUAAGCAAGAUAUUAUGAGAAUGUUGUGUCUCUGCUGGUGGCGUUAUCUGAGUCACUUUUUAUGGGAUUAAUAUUGUUUAAGUAAGCUGAAGAGAAUUUCACUGCACUAGGUAGAAUAGCAACAGAACAACAGGUCCAGAGGGUGAACAAUGCUGUUAGAGGCGAUGGUGGAUAAUUAUGAAACAUAAUUAUACUUUGAGUUUCUCAGGGAAAAGAAUAAGACCUGAUAAACAUUUCAGCAUAUUCUUGCCAUUAGGAAAAAAGAACAUCUCAAGGAAUUUAAAACCAUAUGACAGGAGUUUUUUCAGUAGGAGUUUGUGAUGCUGAAUCCUUGGAUUAGAUGGGUCAUUUAAAUAUAUGAAAAGAUUAUUUAAUUCAUGUACCCAGUACCUGUACAAAUAAAAGCAAGAGGUAGCACGAUAUUGUAUGUGUGCAUAUAAGUAUACGCUGUUAAUUUUGGACUUAGAAUGUUUUUAUACAACUCCAUUGUUUGGAUAAUGUACUUUGGAUUCCAAAAAAUUGGGACUUUGUAAUAUUGCUGAAGGAUGUGGCCUCAGCUGAACUAACAUUGUGCUAUUUGGAGUCACUUAUGCAAAACUGUCAUUCUACCUUAUGUUUAUCCAAUUUAGGACAGGUAUUAUGGGGCCAGAAAUGUGUGUUGGCUACAGAAACAGAUGUGCUACAAAAUGGGAAAAUCUGUAGCUGCCUUAACUGGGAUCCCUUGCGUUUUGUCAGUUCAGAUCAAGGCUUUCAUGCAUAGCUAUGCAUGGUUUUUAAUGAAUAUUUUUAAAAAUUAUUUUGCGUAUAUAGAAAAAGAUCCAGCAGAUCAAAAUCUUUUACAGUCAGUGACAAAUUAACAAUACGUUUUGUGAGGCUAAGAGAGAGUGAGAGAAGAUACAUCGCCGUGUAUAUUUUUGUCUUUAGGUGUCCCCCUUAACAAUAAAAAAAGCUGUCAAAAUGUCAAGAUGUGUUGACUUCACAAUAAGCAAGAAAACAAGAAACCUUGUGAAAGAGCAUGAGAAUAGAAAUGCUGUAAGAGAAAACUUUGCUUUACUGUACAUUUUUCAACAUUUACUUAGAUCACGUAUCUAAAAAUAAGUAUGUCUGCCUUUCCCAUUAAAUUAGUCUCAGCCAGACUAUGUUGUCAAAUACAUACAUUAUAUAAAACCUAAAGAAAAGGGUAUUAAAAAUAGAAGAAAGUAAAUAAAACAAAAAAUAGAAAGCACACAAGUAUCUUGCUUUGAAAAAAAAAGAGAUUUGCUUUCAUAUACAUAAAUACAAAUGAUUCUUUUAUCCUGGCAUGUAUAUCUUUAUUUAGAGGUGUGUGUACAGGAAUUUCCAAAACUACAGAGGAUCUGUCAGAAGAGUCUGUGAUAUAUAUCUGAGUACUCUACGCAGCAAUUUCUCCUGCAGAACAAUGUGAAAGCUUGCUUAUAGCAAUACACCCAUACAUUUGUUUUUAACAUUAAAGAAAACCAACAACAACAAAAAAAAUUGGCACUAUCUAUUACUCAAACAGACCACCUAAAUGGGUGUAUUUACUUUACUAUUGGCUGGUUUAAGAAUGUAUUUGCUGAGAAAUGCAGAUUCAGGACAACUGAACUAUUUGUAUGUAAUUCAAAAGAUUGGCUCCUCUAAGGAAAAAGGUUUUAGAAGACAUCAAAGUGUUUUAUUUUGUUUCAACAUUUGAAAGCAAAUUUGUUUCUAUUUUUUACUUCCCCACUGCUUCAUUUCAAAGUACUUCUUUUCAAAAAGUAAAAUAUGAAGACAUUUUUAAGACUUUUGUUUUGUUAGAAAAGCUAAUGAAAAUAGUUUAGAUUAGCAUGAAGCCAGCCACUAGCUGUCUGGGGUGGUUUGGUAUCACCUAGCAACACAAGGAUCAGUUGAUCUUAUCACUUCAUAACUUCAAAUGAAAGGAGACAUUCAGAAACUAUAUCCUACUUCUUGAUAAGUAAAAUUCAAUCAGAUGUCUCAUCGUAUAACGUGCAUGGAGAAGGUCUAUACUUACACAAAAAUGUUAAAAAAUUGAUCUCCAUUCCUCAAAGCAUAGAGUAUCGUUGUCCUUAUUUUUGAAGAGUUGAUAUCAAAUAUUUCAAGUCAACUCCAUGCAAACAAUAGUCUGAUGUUGUAUGAUUAAAUGUUUCCUCUGAGUUGUUAGGGUCAGCAAGAUCUGCUGCAUUUUUAUGGAGAGUUCCAUAAAGGUCACUAGGAAAAGCAAUACUACAAAAAGAAAGGAAGAAACAGAAGUAAUAAAAGUGAAGUUCUCGGUGGUGUUUACAUUAAGACCGCCAACCAGGCUAACUGAGCUCUUAGGGAAGGGCUUGCUUCCACACUAAGUUCUCAAGGCAACAAUAAUAAAUCCUGUAAGAGAUCAUAACUGGAUUUCCAUGGCAGAAUCUUCACAUUCUAAUAUUAUCCUGAUUCAAUUUCUCAAGCUGGUGGUACAUAUUUCUCGGAGGGUCUCACAAAGACCAUUUUUCUUAUGUGCUCUGGGAUUCAUGAGUGGAUAGGAAGAGCGCUGGUAACAGAUGGCAUGUUUGCUGCACUGUAAUAUCAGAAGAAGGCUUGUGCUGGUUUUCUUCUGCAAUUUGUUUAAUUUUACAGGUCUGUGGGUAUGCAAAAUUAAAUAAAACCUUUUCUUCCCUCUGCCUAAUGCAUAGUUAUGAUUUAUGUUCUAAAUAACCCCCUAAACUAUUCAAAGACUCAAUUACAGGAAUAACUGUUCAAAUGCAUAACAAAUGACAGCCUUUGCUCCAAAUAGUAAAUAAUUUGAACAGAAAACCUGUGAAAAAUAGGAGUUGUUAUAUUCUUAUCACAGAAGUCACAAAAGAAGCUCCUGUUUCAACAAAAGGUGACACUUUCUGUGUUUAGAGUGGGCCUGUCCACUCAGUGUAGUGCUCCGUUUCUCUUUCUUUCAGUUACUUACAUAGAGUUAGGUGAAGAAAAUCAUUAAAUUAACAGAGAUCUAAUUGCUGACACAUCGCAGUUGUGUGUUUGAGCCCAAGAGAGGAAAAGAACUCAGCCAGCUGCCAGGCUCCAGCUGCCCCAUUGCGCCCCAUUUCCCAGACGGGGCAGGCAGAAAUGUGGCCUUCAGAACUCCAAGUUUUUCCCUUUUCAAUACCCACCCAUAAAAGCUGUUGAUUCAGGUUUUCUUUUCUCAAGCAAAACUCAAGCUCCUCAACUUUUAAACUUCUCUCAAAGAUACAUCCUGAUACUAUAAGUCAUCCAGAAUUCUAUUUGGAUUUAGGAAAUGAAUUUUGCCUGGCCUGCACUCAAAUCCUGGCAAUCCACACUAGGCUUACAGAGCAUCUGCUCUUUGGAAAGUACGUCUUAUUCUUACCACACAACUUAUUCAUCUUGCAAGGAACGUUGCAAGGAAACAGAAACCAGAAAUGGUUCAGUCAAAAUCUCCUUACAGCCACAACUCAUACCUACAAUUAAAAAAAAUAAGAUUCGGAUAAUAACCAUGUUCGUGAUGGAAAUUAUCCUGUUUAUCGAACUCUUUAUAUAUCAGAGACAUCAAGAGUCGUAUUAUGUUAGCAUACAGAUGUACGUAUUUGCAAAGGAAAUGGCAAAUUCCUAAUCAAGAUUCACCUGCUCCCAGACUCAACACGAGAAUAUACCAGUGACUGUCAACAAAAUGUCAAAUGAAAUUAUGCAAUGUGCAAAGGAAGUGUAGGAAAAGAUCAUUUGGGAGACGUUUCUAAUCAUGUUAAAUACACAUAGCAACUCUAAAAGCCUGAAUUUCAAAGGCGUGGAGGUACCUAAUGAGGUUUUUGAAUAUGACUUUUCAGCACUGCUGAAACAUUGCAGGAAGAGCCUUACUGCACCUACGCACCUUUGAAAUUAUCAUUUUAUGUUUCUAUCUUCAAAUCUAAAAAUACCCUUUCAAAGCUACAGAAUGAACCAGGCAGGCUCCAGGCAGCAAUGUCAUCUCUGCAUACUGGAGACUGAAGGAGCAUUUGAAGAUGUCUUUCGACUUCAGUGUGCUUCAGACCUGGCCCGGUAAGGAGCAGGACUGGAAUUUGUACAGAUCCAUCUGUGACCCCACUUUGUGCUGGCUACUGGUGUGAACAUCUCCUGGUCUGUAUCCUUGCUGUGGGCACAGUGGUUUGGAGGUGGCCACUUGAAGCCACCAUGUCACAGUCCCUGACCUGGGCUAUACAUUUUCUAGAUCUCCUCUCUGUGUUUCUAAGAAUUGGAGACGGUGAGUUUUCAGUCUGGAGAACUUCUGAAAUGCAGGGGCUGAGCAGAGCAGCUCCGAGCAGGUGUAAACCAGAACAGAGCGUGCCAAUAAGAGCAUUGGGACAGUGCGGGACAACACAGAGUCAGCCAGCAAAGAGAAGGAAAAAAAACCUGGAUUUUAGUGUACUUCGAAACAAGCUAAGCCUUACUGAGCAAGCCCAAGAAUAUUAACUGAUAAGCGUGGAGGACUGGGACUUGGACCAAUUGGGGAGCUAAGCUGUUGACAGCACAGAUAUACUUGCAAUUUCCACUGGCUUACUUUUUUUUCCUUUAUAAUUUGCUCUUUCCUUCUUGAUUUAAAACAGAGAAAUAUAUUAACAACAAAGAGUAAACACUGCAUUUGAAAAAUACAAUAAAAAUCCAUUUUCCUUUUGCCAUUCCCCCCUGCAAAAGUGAAUGAUUUACAUAGUGAUGCCCAGGCCUUCCUUUUCCUCCCCACGGGCAGGCUCUGAGCUUAAGAAACACAAAGAGCAGAAUACAGAUCACUUUCUGCUUCCAUGACAUUCCAUGAUUUCAGCUGAGAGCAAUUUACUUAAGAUAUAUUUCUCCAGCUAGGGAUACACAGCACCGGUUCUCCUUAUUGUCCUGGACAUUUCACCCGCUGCACCAUUAGUUUCCUCCGAGAACAGAAGUAAAUAGCACAAUUUGUCCUUGCAGAAGACUGGCUGUUUUGUAAAUGUGAAGAAGCUCAUGGCAAAUGGGUAGAAUGUUAGGAGUAAAUAAGAAAAAUGGGGCAGCAGAAAUAAAUCUUUUAUGAUGACUUCUCUCAUUCAUUUAAAAGGGAAAAGUCUUUGCUGUUCUUUGCCAGAGUGAAGACACAGCAGUUGUAAGUUCCAGAGAAGAUAACUUCAGUUCAUGGGUAAUUUUCUACAUAGACUUGAAAUAUAAAGUGGAAAGAAAAAACGUGAAGACAUGGGCUUGCAAAACCAGCCAGCAAUUUAAGAAAAUUACAUCAGCAAGCAGAGAUGUGUGCUACAGCCACUUUAAAAAUAAAUUGCUUUAAACAUGUAAGUAAACAAAUGAAAACAUUAAAUCUCAUUUCACUUUUCAGAAAGCUACCGUAGGUAUUGAACUAUGCGUAUUGUAUCUCAUCUUACAAAAAUGUUUAACCACAUUCCCACUUCAGAUGUUUCUGAUGGACCACUUGCCAAUCCGUCAUUUCCAGGAAUGGGUUCAUGCUUUGCCUCACCUGGAGCUCUGCAGUUUAAGCCUUUUUAGGCGCUCAAGAGAGUUGGUUGGAAAUGUUAAGUCUCUCUUUUGGUGCUUCUCAGACUAUCAGAAAAACUCAGCAUAAGUGCAGCUGACAAACCUGUCCCAGUCGGUUGUGGCUGGGAAUUCCCUGAGCAAAUGGAGAAGCCAAAUAUCUAAGUUUGCUGGUUUUUUUCCUGCAUUUUUAGAUGAUACAGUGAUGCAGAGGGUUCUUCCACCAUGACUGCUUCAAACAAUCAGAGCAAGGCAAAAAGCAGAUUCAUUAAUACAUCCAAGAGAAAAGUAAGCAUUAGGCAAAUACAGAUUGGUUGGAAACACUGAUUUCUUAAGGAUUUUUGCUGAUGCCAGGUAGAAGAUGGUUCAGGUCACUUGGGAUCACCAGUAUGUCUAAAGCAGUCACAGCCCAACCUUCUGUCACAAUGGAGAAGUCAGGUGCUUUCCCUGCUCCCACCUGUCCCCUGCCAUACCUCCUGCCCCUGAAUGUCUCAUCGAAAAACCUCUUUUCAUUCAUUUUUCCCCUAAUCUAUUGGGGCAGGGAAACAAAAAGAAGCUUUCACAGCCAUGAAUCUGCAGAAGGUGGUCCCUCCGAAAUGCUCUACUACAAUAACUAAAUUCCCUGAGUUCACUGAAUAAUAUCUAAUUUGUUAGACCAUAUACAUGGUGACUUCACCUCCCAAACAGAAUGUUGUUUCCCAGCCUGACAAACUGAUGGAUCAUUCUUGUUAUCUGCCUGUGAGCUUCCUCAUUGAAUUCUGAAGAGAUGUUAUAAGGGGAAAUAAAUUCAGAAGAUGAAGUGGUUGAAAUUAGAAACCUUGAGAUUUAAGGCUAAAUUACAACAUUUCACAUUUCUCUCUAACUCCAGACCAGAGGGGUUGUGAGUAUUAGGCAAGUGCUAAAGUGCCAUGGGGCUCAUGUCACGGAGUGGUGUUUAAGGUAUGUGAAAAAUCACCAAUUUAAGCUUUCAAAACAUAUAACCCUCAUGCUAAAUGCCCUACAACUAUGCUCCUUUUAAAUGCAGGCACAGAUAGAUGACUUUUAGUGUAGGGGUGCAACAUUACUGGCUACGUGUUGGUGAGAGAGAGCCCAUCAAGAUAUACAAAACUCAAAGUUGACAUCAUGUAUGCAUGGAGGGGACAAAGUGAAGGCACAAGUUAUGAGAUACUACUGUUUAGAUUCCCUCUGGACGUGGACACUGUGGUGGAAAUGCUAAGCCAGGGCUUGAAGCAGUGAUUGAGCACCUGGUAGGAAGGCAGGGCCAACCCAGAGCUCAGGUGCAUGCAAUGCAAUGGAGCCAGCAUGCAUCCCUUCCCAGACCUUAUUUAAGGGUUGGCAGGGGAGGCAAGGCUUUUGGAAAUCUCCAUGUGCCUGAGGCCUUCUGAAAGUAAGUUUCUUCUUUCUUCUUUCUCUUAUUUCUUCACAUGCUGCUGUUGCAUUUGAGUGAAUCCUCACUUGCUGUGGCCUGGGAUCUUGCUGCUCUGCUGUCAUUGUGUUUUUCAUCGUGUUACAGACACACCCAGGAGUUUGGUCUGUAAACUAUAAUGGUUAUUCAAUUCAUUUUUUUAAGUGAGCACCUGCUGUGAAUUUCAUUAUACCUUUUGUCUGUAAUGCUGUCACCAGACUCUUGGGUGUAUUUUCUUGUGGCUGCCUCUGUAGGGAGCACGAUUCUUUGUGUAUUACAAUGGCUAUCAAGGGAAAAGAAAUGUCACAUCACAACCACAGCUUUUUGAGGUGCCUUGCAACACAGCCGUAGAAUUAGCAUACCUUGACGAGCCCACAGGAUCCCAUAAGAGUAAGACUGCAGAUUUUUCCUAUUUGUGCCAGGGGACAGGUUACGGACAAUAAACUAUCCCUGAAUACAGGUUGGCCAGUGCCAGCACUGAUACCAGUCCUCAGGAGACCAAUUCAUCAGUUGUAAAAGCUGGGCAUGGCGCCUAGGGCGGCAGAGCCUGUCCUCCUGCAGGUAUGGCCCUGGGAAACUGCUGUUGGAUGAUUAGGAAAAGACAGUGUGGGAAUGACCAAGAUAGUUCAUUUGUUUGAAUGUGAGUAAAUGCCACUUGCGAGAAGCUGCAGGCAGAGCUGUAGAGAAUUAAGUCCGCCUAUGGGAAAAAGUUUCUCUUACUUCUUUACCAAAUAUAGUCUGUAAAACUGGUAAGCACGAAGCAGGAAUAACUCUCUGAUGUGACUGUGGCUGAAGGUGCUCCCAGUGUGGAGCUGAUGUCUCUGGAUGCAGCUUGUUCUGCCUUUCCUGACCCAUCCUGGAACUUUAAUGUAAAGUAGAAACCAGGAAAGCCACCUCCAGAAGUAGCUUCAGACUUUUGAAUGUCCACCAGUUCACACAGCAAACCUUCUAUUCAGUUACCAGCAGGGACUGGUCUCCAGGCCAGCCUCAAUGCUGGACAGCAAACUCUGUUUUUCACUUCCUGACACUAGAGGUACAGCAAUUCUGCCUGCCUUGUUCUCUCCUUAUCACGCAGAAGUGUUAGUAUGACAGCAUCAACAAGAAUAAGAAGUUAUUAAAGUGUUUUUGGCCAAUGAAAUCCAAAAGCAGUCUGUUCACACCUGGAGAACCCCUAUAAAACAAGUUUUUCUCUGCCAAAUCAUAAGGACUGAGGAGAGGACACACCAGAUUGCUGCGAGAUAAACUAAGCUUCACAGCAUUUCUUCUAUGCUAUUAAUAAAAAUUCUGUCCACGGAGGACGUUGGUAGUAUUUUACAUUAACUUACAGUACUUAGAUCUGACAAACCUGGCAAGCUCAAAAACAGGUGCAUGUAAUCUAUAAUCUCCUCCCUGGAUAUAGGUUUUUAUCAGGAUAUUGUGGCUUCUAAGGCAGAAAGUCUAUAGCUAAACUGGAAUUGAUUUUAUUCAGGACUUAUAUUCACGAAUAAAUAUCACAAAUAGUUUAAUAUAAAUGUCAGCUAGGGAGAGGAUUUCAUCCUAGCCAUACUCAGAGGUUAGGACAAUAUGUCACUGGAGAUACUUUGUUAAUGGAUAUAUACUUUGCACUCUGCACAAUGGCUGCAUAAAUUAUGAGAAUUAUGAAAAGGAACACUAACAAAUUGAAAAGUAUGUCAGAAGGUAUUUACAGAAUGCAUUAAAUUUAUCUGAGAUAUUCAGCAAGGAGAAGGAUGCUGUUGGAGUGGAGAGACCAUUAAGUUGUUGAAAACAGCUAUUUUAAAAUUGCAGCCAACACUUGGGCAUCUUGCAAAGCCUCCACUGCAGCGAGUUUCUGCUUCAAUCACUAAUUUUCUUGUCUGAAAUCAGCCUUGCAUGGUUCGUUUUCAUGAACUUGAGAAAAAUAAACACCAAAAAAAGAAAUGGCUGCUUUGUAAGUUCACCUAGUGAUUAAUAGCAGUGUGUUGUUAGAGUCAGGGUAGUAUGGUUAGGUUGUGGUUGGACUCGAUGAUCUUUAAGGUCUUUUCCAACAUGAGCAAUGGUAUGGUUAAUGCUACUUAACUUCAUUGGUACAGUAGGACAUGUCUGACCUGUACUGCUGAAAGAAAUGGUGAGCAAAUGUAAUUCUUUCUUAAUUACGUCUCUUUGCAAGGUGGAAAAUGAAUGGUAACUUGAAGAAAUAGUAAUAAGCUGGCCAAAUCACAGAGCAGUAGAAAAAUCAGAUUCUUACACCCUAAACAUUGUGAAUUGUAAGAAAUGUGCAUUCACAUUCCAAACUGCUUCUUUUUGAUAGAGUUUUUAAUCAGAAUGGAAAAAGAGAAAGUAUCUGUCCUGAUGACAAAAAUUGCAAUGAGAAUAUUCUCCUCCUCUUUAAAAUCUCCUCAGUGUGGGGAAAUAUGCUUCUGUCUCAGGUCCAUAAAGUAUUCAGCUCAUGCCAGCAGAUUAUGCUUCUCAAGAAAUUCACACGAUCAAUCACCCUGCCUGUCAACUCUCCAUUAGGAAAGUGACUGUGCUGAAUCAUCGAAUCACCUGGCCUGCCUUCCAGCUGCCCUGCCAUGACUGCUGCUUCCCAUUUGGUUUAUAAAACAUGUAGCUGCAUUCUCCAGUGGGCAAGGAGCAAUUAGGAAACAAGCAUGAGCAAUCACAGAUAAAAGCUAAGCAAGCCAAUCUGAACUACAAGAUUUAAAAUCCACCACGAAAAGCAUGUCCAUUAGCAAAACCAUCUCAUUUUAUCUUUGUCUAUGAUGUUCCAAAGACCAACCUGCUCUUGGACAAAGAUGCUUGAAGCUUACUGUUCUAUCCACCACCUCAAAGCUAUAGGGAUGUCCUGGCUGUUCCAGGCUGUGCUAGGACACUGGUACCAUCUCACUGCCACUCACCUCAACAGGACUUUUUCAGCAUCCUUGCCCAGAUCUCAGUGAACUCCAUUAAGGAAUUCUCUGUUCCCAGAGAGCAUUUCUAUACUUAAUGAACCCUGUCAGAAAUGUGUCUAAUGAUUUUAAUUCCUUACGAGCAGCAUUUUUAAAGCUUUCUAGUGUUUUCUUGCUCAUGUGCCUAAAAUAUGCCUAGGAGAUAAGUGAGUGUGAAAGCAUCGUGUUCUGUUCCUGACUUCUCUACUGCAUAUUUCAUCAAGGAUGUAAAAACAAGUUCAGAUUGCCUUAAGAACUAAAAGUACACUUUUUUUUUUCCUUAGUCCAUCACCAACCAUUAUUAGUUUUUGGUAAGCAGCAAGUGAUUAACAUGCGUUACUUCCAGGUGAUUACAACUGAGCUUAUCUUCAUACUGACACCAUUGUUACCAUAGCACAUGGGUAUAACAAGUUCUCCUUUCUAUGUUUAAAAAAAUAAUGAUGGUACCAUGAUGUUUUAAAGUUGCAGUUCCUCCUUCUCUUCCUGUCUUUGUACAUCAAGCCCCAUAGGAAGCAAUCAUUUCUAUGCAAAUGCUGUGUAAUAGAAAUAUAACUUCUCUAUAACCUGCCUUUCCGUGGGGAGAUCAAUCUGCUGUCUGUUUGGCUGUGGUUUCCAAGCAAAGCACUAAGCUGCAAAUUUUUAUGCUAUUAGUGGCCUUCUGCAUCAUUUACAUUCUCAUGUUUCGCUUUUGAUUUGUGCACACUUGAUUAAUUUUGGAGGAGCAAUAAUAAUCUUGUUUAUGCAGCAACUGAGAUUUUCCAGAUUCAGUAAUCUGAGGUAGCUGAUGCUAACACCACAGAGACCAUGUGUCCUAUGUAUUAUAAUGUUCAGAACAAGUGUAUCAAUAGCUAUUUCCAGUAAGCCUGCAUUAUUUCCUUUUAACACGUUUUACAGUAAUAGCGUAGAUUUGAUCUUUCCUGAUCUUAAAAUGUUACCUUAUCAAGAAUGCCCCUAAGAGCUUUGCCUCUCUUAACAUCAAUCAUGUGUGUAAAGCUUCUUGAUUGCCUUUCAUGUACGUGGACCUGGAGGUAGCCUUUUCUGCAGCUGCUGCACACCAGCAGAUAGCAGUACCUGGGUGUAUUGCAGGAACGACCCUUCGGGUGAUAUUCUAUUCAUCAGGAGGGACCAAAAAUUGCACAAAGUUUUUGUAAUUCAGAGGAAACAACUCCUGCAGCAGGAGACUUUUCAUGCAAGACGCCGUGGCUCCACAGUGGGCUUUGAAGGGAGAGAGGAGUGGAAGUGUGGGGUAGUAAUGGACCUUCUGCCUAGCAAAGGACAAUCCAGAGAGAAAUUGAGGCUGUGAAAGUUAGUUCACAGCAUAAUUAAUGGACUAUCUAAAUUAAAUAAUUUCUAGUUCACUUCCCGAUAUAGGAAAUGGUUUUGAACAUAGAAUAUUACAUUUCCCUUAAUGGUGCCUUUAAUGGCCAGAAGCUACAGCUUUUGCUAGAUGCACAGUUUCCAAAUGAGACCCAAUUUGUAUUCGUACCAAACUGAUAAAAACAGGAGCAUUUAUGUUCAGGAUUAUUGCAGUACCUUCAGCAAACAAACACGUUUUUUGCCCUUGUUUCCAGUAGCAGAGUCCAGCCUCCUGAAUACCCAUCUCCUGUCAGUGGUUAGGAAUCUAACCCUUAUGACCACCAGCACUGCUCAUGCCUCAAUUCUCAAUCAAAAAAAGACUGAGAGAGAUUGGAGAGAAAGUACAAGAGAAGUCUUGAAAUCUUGCAAACAGGUGAAUACAGGUUUUGUGUCAGAUUAAAUAUAGCCAUGAAAGAAGAGACUAUGGCAGAUUCUGAGCAUUGAGCUUUUUUUACAAUUUAAGUACCUUUGUGACAGGAAGACAUGGUGAACUGUUAGCUAAAUAUAAAGGAAUUAAAUGCUUCAUCUCUUCAGAAAAUUUACACAAUUGAACAAAAUCUGCCAGAAACAUAAAAUUGCUUUCAAACAAGUGUUGCCAAAGGUAAUUGCAUGGAGAUUCCUAUUUUUCAUAGUUUGAGUGUGAAAAAUGAUUAACUGCACACACAAAAAUAUUAAAGAAAACAAACAAAUGGUUCAUGAAAUAACUCAUAAAGAUCUAAAAGAUCUUCAUAUGAAAUUUACCAUUUUUUUCUUUCUUUUGGUCAAAGCCUGUUGUUGUACUUCACCUGGACAUGCUCAUCUCUUAUCUUAUCCUUGGGGAUGUUCAUGAAACCAAAUGCAUUGCUUCUGGUUCAUGAAGCCCUUUAGCCUCUCCCAACAGGCAAAUCCUUCCAUUAAUAACAUGCUCCUAUCUCUAACAAAAGAUUAUUAUAUUUGCCAAAGAGAAAACAAAGGCGAAAUAAAUCAAUGCAAAAAAAAAAAAAAAGUAAAGAGAAGUAAUCCCUCCACUAAUCAAAUAGAAAUAAAACAAAACAACAGAAGAUUCAGCAGCUGGGAGCCAAAUCUCCACCCCCUUGUGGUUUCUUGGGUCUGCAAGUGCCCCUAGGUUCUUACACUUUGUCAUUACUGUUCUGUUUCGGAUUUCAUUUUGCUUCUUAAUGUAUUUACAUGCCAAAAUAAGACUUAGGCUGCGAAAUCUGCAUAUUCUUCAAUCAACUUGGAUACGCUGUUUUCUUGCUGCUGACUUACCAGAGAUUCAUAUUAAGGAGAGCUGUGAUCACUGUUGGUGCUGCAGUUGGAUGUACUUCCUUUUUCAAAGUGGGAAGAAUUGAGCCCUGAUCCAUUUGUCUUAGAAACGGCUGGAAGUGUGCUUUUAUAACCUUGUGGGGAUUUAAAUACAUUAGCCUAAUUAAAAUUGUUGUUUUAUUUGUUUUGGUAGGCACUCCCUUUCAUCUGCAUGAUAAUGAUUUUGCCUCAUCAUUUCAAGAAGUGUCUGUGGGUGGAAACAUGAUGAAGGGAAUCAUAAAACAAGGAGCCAUGUGAGAAGCUGAAGUAACAUGAACUAAUUUCACGAGCGUUAGUUUGAAGAUGUCUCAUGUAGAUUACGUGAUAAACAAAAAAAAGAUGGUGUAUGGGAAUUGCUAAGUCAUGGCCUGAGCCAAUAAUUGAGCACCUGGUCAAGGGACACAGCCCGCCCUGGGAGCACAGGUGAAAGCAAUUCAUCUGCGUGACUAGAAGAGGUAGAACCAGGUUCCAGCCCUCUCUAAGCCUCAUUUGAGGGCUGGCUGCCCCAAGGAAGGGGCCUCUACCUGGAGACUCUUCCUUUUAGAGUAUUUGUCAAGCCCUUAUCGUUUGGGAUGGGUGGAAGGCUCUUAUUGCUUCACCUGUGCAGCUGCCACCAAAGUUUUGACAUUCAUGGACAUGAAGGAUGGAAACAGGAUUGUAGAAUUGCUCAGACCUUGUAGAUCAUCAAGUCCAACCACAAACAUUUUUAGAGGACGAUUUGGUUUGUAUCCUACGGUGACAUUACACUGAAUAAAGAACCUUUUGCUCAAGCAAAGUGAUUAACACCAGAUUCACCUACUAUCUACUAGCACAUCGUCUUCCCAUAACAGCUAUGCUACGGGUCAAAAAUACUGUGACGUUUGUAGCAUCAGUGUUGGUACUUUCCUUUCCAAAUAAUACCAGAAAGCAAUUAAAGGGUACGUUCUCCAAUGGGCAUGGAGAGAACAGAUUUAACAAACUAUGGUGUUUUUCAUUUGGCUAGAAUCUCAACUAAAAUCCUGAGCACCGCUGCACUGGAUGGGCUCUUGAAGCAGCAGGAGACUCCACACCAUCCCCAUACGCUCCUGGUUUCAGGAAAUUCCCUGCAAUCAGGGAGGGAUUUCACGGGGACAAAGGAACGAGUCAUGCCAGAUUCAAGCACCUAUGGCUGGAAGUCAGAAAAGGAGAUUAAAGCAGAGUAGUUGCUACACACCAGCUGCUCAGUGGUCUGCAAAGAACUGCUCCUUUGAGCAGCACGGCUACUUGCCUGUGUCCGAUGGCUUUCUGGAUACUGGAACAUGUUGUGCUCACAGUAUGAAAAGGAAAAAAUUAUCUGUAUUAGUCAUAGGUAGCUGAGUGCCAUCUGUUACCCAGGCUGAAAGUGAACAUUCACCUCAAACUCUUUCAUGAUUACUGUUUGCCUUCUGGAGGAGGUGCUACUGGGGUAAAGACAUGCUACGGAAAUAGGGAGUUUUGUCAUCUCCUUUUGGUAAGCUCUAUUUGUUCUAAGUAUUACAGUUGCCUUUUAAUAUUUUAAUUAUGUUGACUUUGGCUUUUUAUUUGGAAAUCACUGUAUGUUUCCAAAAAAGAAACAUUAAAAAAAGCAUUUUUCUGGAAAAAAAAAGAAAAAUCAAUGUCCAAAGCAAGAACUGCUUGAUACCUGCUUUCUUUGUUCUUAGGCUUAUGCAAGUCGUACCUAAAAGUUAUAGGCCUGCAGAAUCUGGCCAUUAUGCCCCAAAUACUCUGACUAUAGUGUAGCAAAGAGGUUUCUUUCAUUUAUCUUUUAUUGUCUGGUAUCUUCCAAAUGCCCCCAUACACCACUAAUUGUCCAUUACUAACCUUGAGAAUGCAUACUUAACACCUUCUUACAUCUGCUGCUUAGUUCAACUAUUGUCUUUUUGUGACCCAAGUGCUAGAACUUAGCCCUCAAGUGAAUUUAUUAAUAGAUAAUUCAUAAAUAUGUUUAUGACAAUAAUAAAAGCAUUAUUUUUUCAUAUCUAGGCUAUGCUGUGCAGUAACAUCAGAACAAAAUGGUCAAAUUCCAAUAAUUUGUUAACAGACAACUGAAAGCAAACAAACUCAUAAACAUUAACAUUUUAAUGACUUACAUUCUGCAAAUGAUUUCUAAACACCAUGAUGACAACUAGGUAGUGCACACAAGAGAGAUUCCUUCAGCAUCUGUGUUUUUAGCCUCAAAUAUUGCUGCAGUACAUCAACAAGUUUUCAUCAUCAAAUCUGUAAUUAAAAAGUAAGAAAAUAUCACAGUCACCUAGGAAUAUCUGAACUGCUUUGAAACUGAAAAUCUUGUUUUGAAUCAGAAUUCAACAGGAAACCCAGCUCACCCAAGAACUUGAUUUGUCUGUUUUUCUGUUUGUUUGUUUUAUAUCCAUAGUUCCCCCAUGGUGGAGAAAUAGAUUAACUUGAGCUAAAAGAGUGCCUGCAUAUUUGCAUAAUAUUAGCCCUGAAAAAAAACACUAAGGACUACCAGGUAUAAGAUGAAACAGAAAACUAACGUAUGUAUUUCUUGGCAGUUUUUCAGCAUUUUUGUGUUUAAGACAUUGACCUACUUUCCAGAUUCUUUCAGCUCUAUCUAGUAAUCCUUAAACUCAAACUGAAAGAAACUUACUGUUCAAAAUGAAAAAUUCACUUUGGUAGAACGGGUUCUCAAAUACCAGGUAUGACUACAACAUGUUUCUCAUAGUUAAUUUUCACACUGUUGUAACUUACUUCAGUUUCUACAGUCACAGCAGCAUUUAGUAGUAGACUAAUUACUAGGAAAAUUCUCUCAGAUCUCUCAGUUGUUUUUAUCUGUGAUAUCUUUUAUGCUCUUGAUUAAUAGGAACCUCAGACCUUUAAAAAACAAAAAUUCAUUUAGGGAUUUCUACUUAAAAAGAGAACUUGGUAAACAUAACAUGAGGACCACACAGCUGUACAAGAAAAGUGGAGAGGGAAAAGUAAUUAUGCCAAGUUUCACUAAUGAACUGAUCUAUCUAAAUGGCUUCUACCACUCAAAACUCUUUUUUCCCCAUUUUUAACAUAUCUACUUGAACACCGUACCUUUUUUUGUGUGUUUUUGUGUGUGUGUGUUAUGUUACAUUAUGGCAAGAUUUGUUUUAUCACAUAGGAAAAUAUCUCCUGGGAUACAGGUGGUAAAGUUCAGGCAUGUAUGGGAAUACUCAUUGCAAUAGUUAGUAUUAAAAAAAAUAUAUGGAAGGAUGACUUAGCAUAUAUUAAUCAUCAUUGUUAAGAAUUAUGCCUAUGUAGAAAAUUGGGAUGAUGUGACAAACUAUCUGCAUCAUUGCAACUGCAAUGUGUUUCUCAGGUAAAGUGGUAGCUGAGUGCCCAGUUCUACAACAUUGCUUUCAUAAUAUUAAAAACUUAGCUGCAAACAUUAUUGAUUAUUCCAGAGCCAGUCCAAGCCUCCCACUGUGCUCUGGUGCCUUCUUUUCCCCUCUACCCCAUUCCCUCUCUGCUGAGUGGGGGGAUGGGAUACUCCAACACAACCUCUGUGAGAAAAAUGAGUGCGUUGAAUAAAAACAGAAUCAUGCUGAAAAGGAAUCUAAGAAUAUCACCCGUGCCCAAAGACUCAUGAAAAUACAUGAAGGAUUUCCCUUGAUAUACAUUCAGACACAGAUUGUGUUUACCUCUCUGGGAUAUGGAGCUGAUUAUUCAUCAUCAGUAUCUCAUCAGAAACAGAAGUUUCAGUUUCCACCCGUAUGUAAUGAAAAUGAUACGAUCACAUCAGCAUAUUUUAUUAUUAUUGUUACAUCAAAUCAUCAUCCCUAGGUACAUAUAAACACACUUUUUCUCCACUGAAAUAGCGCACUAGGUGGCCUCUUUAUAAAAUAAUAAAAACAAAAGUGUUCACAAAGAUUUGCGUCAAAAACUAUUCAUCCGUCCAAGGAAUAGAAUCAAGCAGCAUCUCUGCACACUUGUAAUAAAAUCUGCAUGACUGUCUUGAUAGUACUAAGUCCCUUAUUAAGUAAAAGGAACCUAGCAUCAUUAAAUAGAAGCAGCCUGAGGUGCAGUGAGAGAUCAUCCUCUCCCUCUGUUCAAUCCUCAUAGAGACAGAGGAACAUAAUUUUACAGGAUGUCAAAUAAAAAUUCAUACUGUCCCAUAUAAAACCUAAAAAGGCCGAUGGGACCAUCACCUUCUAACAUAGGACAAAAAUCAAUAAAUUUGUAGCAUUUCACACUGAGUGAAUCCUUGCACUUCUAAGGUCAACAGAAGCUUUAAAAGGAGAAGUGCAGCUCUAUUAAGUUGCCAAGGUCCAUGUCUAACCCCCUUCAUUGCACUGGCACCAGAUCUCCAGUACUGGAUUAACCUGGAGUAAGAGCAGCAGAGUUGAGUUGAUGCAAAGCUAUGAAUAAUGAAAGGCUUAGGGCAGGGGAUUAAAAAUACAGUUGAGAAGUUCAUCAAGGAAAAAAAAUUCAUAAAUCUCUUGAAUCCACUAAUAGCAGAAAUUCAGACAGGUAUAACUGCCCCGGUGAGCAUAUCUGCCUCUUCUGACAACCCUCAAAGAGAUCCCAACAACACAUUCUCCUGAACCAUCUCACCAAUUGGAAUAAUAGAGCUAAAAUUUCAAAACAACCAUUGGGAAUUAAAUUAGUUUUGCUGCUGCAUCCACCCUUGGGGAUGUUUGUCCAACUCUGACAGUCUCCAGAGAAAUAGCAACUUUAACUGAUGUCUAUCAACUGUUUCUGUGUCUUUCAACAAUCCAUGUUAAAAGCCCUUCUUCCUAAUACUCAGUCAAAAUAUUCUUUCUUGGAAAUUCUUCACCCUACUGUAUUGUUACAUAUUCUUGCAAAUACCCUUCAUACUUUUGACAGCUGUUCUGUAUCAUCCUCAAGACGUCGCAGCCGUUGUAAAGUGCACUAACAAUAAAAGCUCUUCUGCCAUCAAACGCCAAGCAGCCCUUCCUUUCCAUGCACGUAUGCAUGAAUUCACAUGCACACAUACAGCCUUGAGACUGAAAAUGAAACAAAUCUUGUUUUACAAUGCAAAGUCUGAGAAUAACAUCUCGCACUUAACAACACAAGGCACGGAACUGGAGAAAACUCAGGAAAUGCUCAUGAAAUUCUGUCAUUUGAAAGCCGCCUACAAAAAAACACAGAGAAGCAUUUCUGAGAAAAUUUUCUGUUUGAACAGAAGCAUUUACUGGAUAAUCUACUGGGUUUGGUUUUUUGUUUGUUUGUUGUGCUUUUUCCCAUAAUCUUUUUUUUUUAUUACAUUUUUUUCAAUCUAUAUUCAUUAUUACACCAUCUGUCGUUCUAAUAAUGAAAAUAAAUAAACUAAUGUUGAAUUCCAAGACUAUAACACCUGAAUUACGAACUUAAAAAUGUUAUUCAUGCAUCAAGUGAUAAAAACUUUUCUCAUCUCCAGCUAUUUAGAUUUCCUGAGAAUGACAGCUAAUGGCAUUUGACUGAAGCUGCAAGGAACAGAAUGAGGAGCAGUUUGGAUUGAUAGACAGGACUUUUUGCCUCCCAUUUAUCUGAAUCUUGGGUGUCGUAAAUAUGACAAUAUAUCACCCAAUGCCAUAAAUAAAAUCCAUUAGAUUUUGGAAGAGAAUUAUUUUCAGUCCUAUUGCUAAAUGUACUUAUUCCUUUCUUUGUUUCUCUCUCUUAAUCAGUUUCCAGUCCAUGCAAGUCCAUUAUGUCCUACUCUGUGAUUACUCUUAGCUUCCUUAAUAGCCUCUUGAGUUUUUUAAACCCCCCCCAAAAUUAUAUCUAUCGCUUCUCAGUUAUCUGUUAUUUUGCUGACAUCCUGGAGGAAAGGCAAUUUCCCUUUUGGGAGCAGAGCUGUUUUUCCCCUUAUAAUACCACACUCACUGUAACUCUAUAGCUAUUUUUCAGCUAAAGUACCAAUACUGAAGGAGACCCAUUUGUUUGUAAUUCUAGCACCCAUACCUAGCACAGAUUCUGCAGACAGAGAACAUAGUUUUCCUGCUGGUUGUCCAGAUUUUAAGAAUGAGAAAGUUUGGGAAACUCAUUCCUAAGCUUCCAAACAGCCCUUGAGGAAAAGUUGCCUCUGCUUCAAGGAAUGCACACCGGCAUUGCUGCCCAUUGUAUUUACAGCUUUAAUCUCCUGCAACCCAGAGCACGUGCAGCAGGGCUGUGUUCCCAGGAAGAAAUGUGAUUACUACAAAAUGAUGCAGAACAGAUUAUUUGCAUCUUUAAUCAAUAUUUUAAAUGCUAAACAACGCAUCUCGAGCACUGAUACAUGCUGUUUACCGCUUUAUCCCUAGUGGAGCAUAAUUAUAUUUUAUAUACAUGAAAGCAAUUUCAUUUGUUUGUAUCAAGAGAUACACUUGAGUAAUAUUAAAAAUAAUAAUAAUGUGCACAAUGAUCCAGACAGGAUUUAAAUGUUUUUAACAACUCUGUAUUAAAUAACACAGCUUUUUAUUAUUUUAGCAGAUGAUCUGCAUUUAGAUUAGAACAGAAAAUCAGGAGUGGGCUGUUGUUCCAUUCUUCCUCCUUUACAACUGUUCAUUUCAGUACGGUGAAAUAAAUACGAUAAAGGAAGUAUUUCUCCCCAGUUUUGAGCUUUCGUCUCACUCCCAUUUUCUAAGCAUAAGGACAAGGAAAUCAAACGCCAGGGAUAUCUGCCUUCUACAACUUGUCCUCAUAGAAGUCCACUGCCAUUCUGAGCCAUGGGUAUUCUGUGACAGAUGGGAAAAAAAACAACUCGUGAAUGACUGUAGCAGUAUCAUUGGCCCAACAAACAGCCUCUUUGCAGCCCUGCUCCCAGGCCAGCCCCAUAGGUUACAUUUCUUCUCCGAAAGAGUGGUCAGGCAUUGGCACAGGCUGCCCAGGGAGUAGGGUAGCCAUCAUCCAUGCAGGUAUUUCAGAACCAUGGAGAUGUGGCACUGGGGGAUAUGGACAGUGGGCACGGGGGGAUGGGUUGGGGUGGAGCUGGAUGGCCUUUGUGUUUUUUUCCAACCCUAAUGGUUCUGUGAUUCUGUGAACUGCAGUGGGAUAGUGUAGUGGAUAUGCUAAGUCAGGGCUUGAAGCAACAAUUGAGCACCUGGUGAGAAGGCAGGACCAGCCCUGGAAAGCUCAGGUGCAUGCAAUGUAACAGUGACUGGAAGGGGUGGAGCCAGGAUGCACCUCUUCCCAGACCUCAGUUAAGGGUUGGCAGUACAGGUGGGGGCACCUCAUUUGGAGAUCCCUGUGUAUUUGAGGACCUUACAGGCUUUCUAAAGAAGAAAAUACUGUUGAAAGGCUACUUUUCCUGAAGUCAUCCAAGGAAGAAAGGUGUUUUAUUGGGACUGGUCUGUUGGUGGAUGUUCACGUUGACCAGAUGAUGUUGAUGGGCACCCAAGCAAGCAGAAAUAGUGAAGUAUAUUUCCUGCUAUUUUAUCACUCAAAAUUCUGAGCUCUGAGCUAAAUUUCGGUGUGGAUAAAGAGGGAACUGGAAGAAAAGACAAUGGGAAGAUAAAAGAGGUAAGGCAAAGGUGAUUAUACUUCCAGGACUGUACUAAUGGUAAAACCUGUAAAUGGAUCCAUCUCUUCAUAAACGCAAAUCUACCAGAGACUAUAUGAAAGCAGUAUUUAACUGCAACACUACUUGCACAUGUUGACAAAAUACAAAAGCAAUAUUUUAAAGGGAAUGUUUGUAAAAUCAUUGCUUUCGCAGUCUAUAGAUUACAGCAGACAUGAAGA